rnacentral:lncRNA from 1 species
CUGAAAACCACAGGGGCCAUUUGUGCAGCUCUGAAUCAUGUCUUCCUGGGAAGCCUGGCAAGGUGAAGGCGGCUCCAGGGCCCCACUAUUCUGCAAUAAAAGCAGGAGCUAUUGCCCAGGCUCUGUGUUCGUAGCCAGCAGUGGGGACCUGGAGGCUAGUGACCGCAGCCACCUGAACCUGUUCCCUAGGGUGGCCACGAGGUCUCCAGGAAGGUAAGCGCCAACCUUGAGAUCCUCUACCCGGAGCAGGAGAGAGGAUGGGGGGAGGAGGUGGGAGGCAAGGUGGAGGAGGGAGGAGAGGUGGCACCUGGCUUUCUAUUUUCAACCCCCUUUACUUACAGUGCAGGUGGGAGUUUCCAAAAUGAUACAUGCACCGUUUCUGAGUGUCUCUGACUUGCGAGGAAUAAACAGCUGCGUUCUCCCUGAAUAGGCCCUUACUUGGAGCUCAUGUCCGUCUGUCCAACCAAUCUAUCCCCUUCCG